rnacentral:rRNA from 1 species
CGGUAAUACAGAGGGUACAAGCGUUAAUCGGAAUUACUGGGCGUAAAGCGCGCGUAGGUGGUUUGUUAAGUUGGAUGUGAAAUCCCCGGGCUCAACCUGGGAACUGCAUUCAAAACUGACUGACUAGAGUAUGGUAGAGGGUGGUGGAAUUUCCUGUGUAGCGGUGAAAUGCGUAGAUAUAGGAAGGAACACCAGUGGCGAAGGCGACCACCUGGACUAAUACUGACACUGAGGUGCGAAAGCGUGGGGAGCAAACAGGAUUAGAUACCCCGG